AUUGAACGCUGGCGACAUGCUUAACACAUGCAAGUCGAACGGCAGCGCGGUUGUGGUAACACAACUGGCGGCGAGUGGCGGACGGGCGGGUAAUGUGGAGGAAUCUGCCUUGAGGAGUGGGAUAACUUGGGGAAACUCAAGCUAAUACCAGCUAAGCCCGACAGGGGAAAGCUUGGGACCGAAAGGCCAGGCGCCUUAAGAUGAGCCUACUUCGGAUUAGCAAGUUGGUGGGGUAAAGGCCUACCAAGGCGAUGAUCCGUAGCUGGUCGGAGAGGAUGAGCAGCCACACUGGGACUGAGAAACGGCCCAGACUCCUACGGGAGGCAGCAGUGGGGAAUAUUGGACAAUGGGCGAAAGCCUGAUCCAGCAAUGCCGCGUGUGUGAAGAAGGCCUUCGGGUUGUAAAGCACUUUCAGUUGGGAGGAAGGGGAUGAUGUUAAUAGCAUUGUUCAUUGACGUUACCGACAGAAGAAGCACCGGCUAACUCUGUGCCAGCCGCCGCGGUAA
rnacentral:rRNA from 1 species